rnacentral:lncRNA from 1 species
UUUUUAAUAGUUAUUUCCUCAAUACAAUUUUUUUUCUACUGUACAGCAUGGUGACCCAAUCAUACAUACAUGCUCACAUUCUAUUUCACACAUUAUCGUGCUCCACCAUAAGUGACUAGACAUAGUUCCCAGUGCUACACAGCAGGAUCUCAUUGCUAAUCCAUUCCAAAGGCAAUAGUUUCUAUCUAUUUACCCCAAGCUCACCACCACCCCACUCCCUCCCCCUCCACCUUGGCAACGACAAGUCAAUUCUGCAAGUCCAUGAUUUUCUUUUCUGUGGAAAGGUUCAUUUGUGCCUUAUAAGAUUCCAGAUAUAAGUAAUACCAUAUGGUAUUUGUCUUUCUUUUUACUUCAUCAGUAUGAGAGUCUCUAUUCAUCAUGUUGCUGCAAAUGGCAUUAUUUCAUUCUUUUUUAUGGCUGAGUAGUAUUCAUUGUGUAUAUAUACCACUUCCUAAUCCAUCAUCUGUCAUGAACAUUUGGGUUGUUUCCAUGUCCCCGCACCCAUGGCAUAUGGAGGUUCCCAGGCUAGGGGUCCAAUUGGAGCUGCAGCUGCCAGCCUACACCACAGCCACAGCGAUGCGGGAUCUGAGCUGCAUCUGUGACCUACACCGCAGCUCAUAGCAAUGCUGGAUCCUUAACCCACUGAGCAAGGCCAGGGAUUGAACCUGUAUCCUCAUGGGUGCUAGUUGGGUUCGUUAACCUCUGAGCCACGAUGGGAACUCCAAGGAGGCUGAUCUUAAUGACAAGUUUCAGCAGAACUUUGGGGCCUAAGGUCCUCAGAGCCUCACUGGAAAUUUCUCAUGUGUCCCCAUUCCAAUUUUCAGGGUCCUACUCUUCCCAAUCAAUGAAUUGACUUUAACGUUAGAGAUCCUAUAAGGCUGUAAUUCAAUUUGCUUUUUUAGUUCAGCCAUGCACAGAAUUAAACUUUGGGCACAGUUUUAGAAAGACCUUGUGGCUAUAGGAUUCAAGUGUUUCACUUACGUUUUCUUGUCCUUUACCCAGACUUUGAGAUGAGAAUUUAAGGCCCUGAGCUUAUCACUUUCUUUCUUCAAAUUCUUCAGUGCACUCUGAUACAACUAAUUAACCCCUUUAUACAACAAAUUUUCACUAAAAUAUGGCAGCAGCUAAUUAUUCAAAAUUUUCCUUCUACAGAUGAUUUCAUGUGGUAAUUUAAGUCACUGCAAUCCAUGGACUUCCAGCUUCCCCUUUAUGAUAAGCAACAUUAAUUUUAACCUAAUCAGAUUGAAGAUAGAUGAUAGAUUUCUGUACUCAAGUUUCAGUUACCCUGGAUCACUUCUGAUACCAAUAACAUAUUUAUGAGGUUAAAGAAGGGAAGCAGAACUACUGUAAGUUGUGAGAUAAGAUACUUGUAGUGAUUAAAAUGUACAGAAUUGUGGGCAGAUUGGGAAGGACAUUCUAGGAGAGAAGUUGGCAGGUCAGAAGCUGGCAGAAGUUGCCCAGCUGCCAAAUGGAACUCUGAACGGAAGAAUCACAGGAUCUAUGAGAAGGAGUGCCCUGCAUAACUUCUACCUCUGCCAUGAUGAUGGGCCUGGAGCAGCAGAUGGUCAACAGAGUUAGCCACCAAAGAAAGCUGGGUGUGGACCAGAGGAGAGCAGGUGCAAUUUAGAACCUAUUGGUACCUCUGUGUACAUCAGACACCAUGUCUAACAAAUGACCUUCAGAGAACCAAGGCUCUUUCUUCUACUUUUCCAGUCUUGAAAUUCUUUUAGCCAGUGCUAACUAGGAACCAAAUAGGAAGGAGGAAAUGGACCUAUAAUUUGAAGAGUUGACUCAAUUCAGGCAACCAGAGCACAGGCUGUAAUGACAUCAUAGAAGAAAAAUAUAGCCACAAAAAAUCGUGUAUGUAUAAUAUAAAAAUGCCUGAGAGCCAAUAAAAAAGUAGACUUGAACAGACACUUUACAAAAAAAUAUGUCAAAAUGAUUAACUGGAAAAAUGUUGACCCUCAUAAGUAAACAGGAAAACAUGAAUUAAAAUCAAAUGAAAUGCCACCAAACCCCAACAAGAUUGGCAAAAAAAUUAACUACCAAAUAUUGGUGGAGAUGUGUACAUAGCAAUAGGAACACUCAGAUUAUACUGGUGGGUGUGCAAAUUAGUGCAACCUCUUUGGAAAAUGUUUAGCAUUAUUUUAAAACAUCUGAAGUUGUGAGUACAUUUUUCAGUAAUUCCUAAGUAUUUUUCCCAAAGAUAUUUAUGUACGUGUGUAUCAGUUUACACAUACAAAAAUGUUCUUGGAAGCAUUGUUCAUACUAGCAAAGAUUGGAAACAACCCAAAUAUCUAUCAACAGUAAACCGAUAUACUGUAGUAUAUUCUGAUAAUGGCAUACUGUACAGCAAUAAAAAGGAGAAAGUGACAGCUGCAUAUACCACCACCGCUGAAUCUUUGUAAUUUUUUUCUUUUUUUGUCUUUUUUUGCCUUAUUGGUGCCACACCCAUGGCACAUGGGGGUUCCCAGGUUAGGGGUCCAAUCAGAGCUGCAACCACCCAUCCAGGCACAGCCACAGCAACGCCAGAUUCGAGCUGUGUCUACGACCUACACCACAGCUCAGAGCAACGCCAGAUACUCAACCCACCGAGCGAGGCUAGGGAUCGAACCCGCAACCCCAUGGUUCCUAGUUGGAUUUGUUUCCGCUGUGCCACGAUGGGAACUCCUGAAUCUUUUUAAUUUUAUAAUUUUUUUUUCUUUUUGGCCACUCAUGCAGCGUGAAGAAUUUCCUGGGCCAGGGAUGGAAUCUGCACCACAGCAGUGACAACACUGGACCCUUAACCCACUGCACCACCAGGGAACUCCAAACAUGGGUGAAUCUUAUACAGAUAGUGCUGAGUAAAAGAAACAAGUCAAAAGUAUAUAUACACUGUUGUUCCAUUUCUUUAAUAUUAAAAAGGUAAAAAUGUAUAUAAAUGCAUUAUUGAGUGGCAAAAUCAAAAAAAUUAAAGACAUGAAAAUAUACCAUAUACAUUAAGAUAAUGGUUACUGCUGGGGGGGGAGGAAAUGUAUGUGAUUGGACUGGGAUAUCUGGAAGGCCUCUGGACUUGCUUCCAAUUUCAUAUGAUUUAAUAAAUUUUAAUUUUCUGUAUGUAGGAGAGUUUGCAGUCAGAGUUGUAAGUCUGGAGCUUGAAUUGUCCUCUGGAGGUUAAUUUGAGAAUCAUCACCUCUGAGGUGCAGUUAGUCAAGGGAACUCAUGUGAUGUGAUAAGAUAAAGAGAAGAGAGGAAGCCCAGACUGGGUUCUGAGGAGCAUUAACAGAUGCCUUUUGGCAGGAAAACCAGCCAAGGAAAUGGAGAAGAGCAGCCAAUGAGUAGGAAGGUCUGGUGUCUCUUACUCCGAGACAGAAGAAUUUUUCUAAAAGUAGAUAAUGGUCACCUAUGAUAAGUGUUUCUGAGUAAAAUAAGCACAGAGGAGUGGGUUAUUUUGACAAGGGGCAUUUCAGGAGAAUGGUGGAGUAAGAAAGCAUUUGGAACAACUUCAAGAAUUCUGCAACAUGGUUGAAUUGAAAAUUUUAAAAUGCUUACGAAGAAGCCAAGGUUACACUGAUUGCCUGAUUGUUGUCUUCUAAAUUCCCAGUAGGUGGUGUCAUAAUACUGUAUUUAGGGAAUAGUUUUUUUUUUUUUUUUUCUUUUUAAUAAAGUGGAUAAAGAAGAAAAUGCUAAUAUACUUGCUCAACGAUAUGGUGCUUUCAUUUUAAACCUUCUUUAUUUUUUCCUCAAAGAUGACCCUAUUAUAAACAGCUUCAUUCUUUAUGAUGAUUCUUUAAUUCACACUUUUACAAGAAAGUAUGUACUAACUGAUGGCUUUUUAUUCUUUCAUUCUCUGUAGUUAUACAAGAGUACAUAAUCAGUCAAAAGAAUGAAAUUGUUAAAAUGUUUCCCCCCCAUUUCCCCAGGCUCUUUUUUUUAACUCUCAUAUUCUAGAUGAAAAAAGAAUCUGUUUUUGUUCUGGAAGUCAAACAGGAAUGCAGGACCUGUCAUUAUAACUAUUACAACCCUUAUUUUGCACUCAAAAUGUUUUCUACUUUUAGCUAUUCUUUUGAACUAUCUAUAUCAUAAAUUAUUGACUUCACUGGACAUCGAGUUAUUUCUAGUUGAAUUCAAGGUAUUCUUAAUUUUCCUACCUUACAUUUCACCAAUCCUUAUGUUUGCUUUGGUGACACACAUGCACCAAGCUAACUGUCACCCAGAGGAUAAUAUGGCCUCUGUCUGAGAAUGACUCUCAACAUUCCAUGUAUCAGGCCAUGUUUUUAGUGUCUCUCAGAUCAAUGAUAUACACUUGGAGGAUGGGGCUAAUGAAUUCAUGGAUGGUUUCAUUUUUGUUUAUUGCAACCACCACAAUAUUCAUAGUAGAAACUUGCAAUGUUUGUUAAAUUAAUGUGCUACCUGCUACAGUUAAAUAGUUAACUCCUCAGAGUUCCCA